GCUCGGAUGGUGGAAUCGGUAGACACGAGGGACUUAAAAUCCCUUGACCAGAAAUGGUUGUGUGGGUUCAAGUCCCACUCCGAGUA
rnacentral:tRNA from 1 species